AAAAUUCCCCCCAAAUUCCCCAAAAAUUCACAAAAAAUCCCUAAAAAAUUCCCCCAAAAAUUCUCAAAAAAAUCCCUAAAAAUUCCCAAAAAAUCCUCAAAUAAUCCCUUAAAAAAUCCCUUCAAAAAUCCCCAAAAAUUCGCCAAAAUUCCCCAAAAAUUCUCAAAAAAAACCCUUAAAAAAUUCACCAAAAAUCCAAAAAAUUCCAGAAAAUUCUCAAAAAAAUCCCUAAAAAUUCCCCAAAAAUCCUCAAAUAAUUCCUUAAAAAUCCCCCAAAAAAUCCCUAAAAAUUCCAACAAAAAUCCUCAAAAAUCCUUCAAAAAUUCUCAAAAAAUCCUCAAAAAUUCACCAAAAAUCCCCAAAAAAUCCCUUAAAAAAUUCCCCAAAAAUUCCCCAAAAAUUCCCCCAAAAUUCCAGAAAAUUCCUGCCUUUUCCCCAUGCCAUUCCCGUUAUUUCCCCCAGCCUACACUCUGUUCUACUCCCUGGACAAGAACGCUCCUCUGGCCGAGUGGAUCCCGCAGUCGGUCGGAUCCGAGCGCCUUUCCCAUCAAAUCCCCGAUCUCCUCCUCGAUUCCGGAUAUUUUUUCCGCAUCCAAGCUCGAAAUUCCAAAGGUUCCGGUCCCAUCUCUGAUCCCAUUUUCUUCAGGACAGCCAAAGGUCGCCAUGGAGACGGAUCCUAUUGGCCCCUGGACAUCGACCGCAGCAUCAAUGGUAAAUCCCCCAAAAAAAUCUGGGAAUUGGGGGGUUUUUUAUGGAAUUUUAAAGGAAUUUAUGGGAAUUUUUAGGAGUUUUUAUGGGAAUUUUAUUGGGGAUUUUUUGGGAAUUUUUUGGGAUUUUUUGGGGGAUUUUAAUUGGAUUUUUUGGGAAUUUUUUGGGAUUUUUUGGGGAUUUUUUUUAGAUUUUUUUGGGAAUUUUUUGGGAAUUUUUUGGGAUUUUAAUUGGAUUUUUUGGGAAUUUUUGGGGGAUUUUUUGGGAAUAUUUUGGGAUUUUUUGGGGGAUUUUAAUUGGAUUUUUUGGGAUUUUUGGGGGGAUUUUUCAGGAUUUUUUGGGGAUUUUUUGGGAUUUUUUGGGGGAUUUUAAUUGGAUUUUUUGGGAAUUUUUGGGGGAUUUUUUGGGAAUUUUUUGGGAUUUAUUUGGAGAUUUUAAUUGGAUUUUUUGGGAAUUUUUUGGAUUUUUUUUUAGAUUUUUUUGGGAUUUUUUUGUGGUAUUUUUUGGGAUUUUUUUGGGGAUUUUAAUUGGAUUUUUUGGGAUUUUUUGGGGGGAUUUUUUGGGGGAUUUUUUUGGUAUUUUUGGGGAUUUUUUUGGGAUUUUAAUUGGAUUUUUGGGAAAUUUUUUGGGAUUUUUUGGGGGAUUUUUUGGGAAUUUUUUGGGAAUUUUUGGGGAUUUAAAUUGGAUUUUUUGGGAAUUUUUUGGGAUUUUUUUUGGGAUUUUUUGGGAAUUUUUUUGGAUUUUAAUGGGAUUUUUGGGGAAUUUUUUGGGAUUUUUUUUGGGAUUUUAAUUGGAUUUUUUGGGAUUUUUUUUAUUUUUUUUGGACUUUAAUUGGAUUUUUUGAGAAUUUUUUUGGAUUUUUUUAGAUUUUUUGGGGGGAAUUUUAAUUGGAUUUUUUGGGAAUUUUUGGGGGAUUUUUUGGGAAUUUUUUGGGAUUUAUUUGGGGAUUUUAAUUGGAUUUUUUGGGAAUUUUUUGGAUUUUUUUUUAGAUUUUUUUGGGAUUUUUUGUGGUAUUUUUUGGGAUUUUUUUUGGGAUUUUAAUUGGAUUUUUUUGGAAUUUUUUGGAAUUUUUUUUUUAGAUUUUUUGGGGGAUUUUUUGGGAGUUUUUUGGGAUUUUUUUAGAUUUUUUUGGGGGUUAAUUGGAU
rnacentral:lncRNA from 1 species